rnacentral:rRNA from 1 species
UACGAAGGGGGCUAGCGUUGCUCGGAAUUACUGGGCGUAAAGGGCGCGUAGGCGGACAGUUUAGUCAGAGGUGAAAGCCCAGGGCUCAACCUUGGAAUUGCCUUUGAUACUGGCUGUCUUGAGUUCGGGAGAGGUGAGUGGAAUGCCGAGUGUAGAGGUGAAAUUCGUAGAUAUUCGGCGGAACACCAGUGGCGAAGGCGACUCACUGGCCCAUAACUGACGCUGAGGCACGAAAGCGUGGGGAGCAAACAGGG